rnacentral:rRNA from 1 species
GACAGCGGGUGCAAACGUUGUUCGGAAUUACUGGGCGUAAAGCGUGCGCAGGCGGUUCGUUAAGUCAGCUGUGAAAGCCCCGGGCUCAACCUGGGAAUUGCGGUUGAAACUGGCGAACUAGAAUCUGGCAGAGGGGGGUGGAAUUCCACGUGUAGCAGUGAAAUGCGUAGAGAUGUGGAGGAACACCGAUGGCGAAGGCAGCCCCCUGGGCUGAGAUUGACGCUCAGGCACGAAAGCGUGGGGAGCAAACAGG